rnacentral:rRNA from 1 species
UAGGGUUUGAUCAUGGCUCAGAACGUACGCUGGCGGCACGCCUAACACAUGCAAGUCGAACGAAGUAGCAAUACUUAGUGGCAGACGGGUGAGUAACAUGUAGGUAUCUGCCCUUUGGCCUGGAAUAACACGAGGAAACUUGUGCUAAUACCGGAUAAGUCUUUACGGAGAAAGCUUUAUGCACCAUUGGAUGAGCCUGCACUUGAUUAGUUUGUUGGUGGGGUAAUGGCCUACCAAGACUGUGAUCAAUAGCUGAUUUGAGAGGAUGAUCAGCCACAUUGGGACUGAGACACGGCCCAAACUCCUACGGGAGGCAGCAGUGGGGAAUCUUGCACAAUGGAGGAAACUCUGAUGCAGCGAUGCCGCGUGAGUGAAGAAGGCCCUUGGGUUGUAAAGCUCUUUCGUCGGGGAAGAAAAUGACUGUACCCGAAUAAGAAGGUCCGGCUAACUUCGUGCCAGCAGCCGCGGUAAUACGAAGGGACCUAGCGUAGUUCGGAAUUACUGGGCUUAAAGAGUUCGUAGGUGGUUGAAAAAGUUAGUGGUGAAAUCCCAGAGCUUAACUCUGGAACUGCCAUUAAAACUUUUCAGCUAGAGUAUGAUAGAGGAAAGCAGAAUUUCUAGUGUAGAGGUGAAAUUCGUAGAUAUUAGAAAGAAUACCAAUUGCGAAGGCAGCUUUCUGGAUCAUUACUGACACUGAGGAACGAAAGCAUGGGUAGCGAAGAGGAUUAGGUACCCUCGUAGUCCAUGCCGUAAACGAUGUGUGUUAGACGUUGGAAAUUUAUUUUCAGUGUCGCAGGGAAACCGAUAAACACACCGCCUGGGGAGUACGACCGCAAGGUUGAAACUCAAAUGAAUUGACGGGGACCCGCACAAGUAGUGGAGCAUGUGGUUUAAUUCGAAGAUACGCGCAGAACCUUACCAACACUUGACAUGUUCGUCGCGACUCUGAGAGAUCAGAGUUUUCGGUUCGGCCGGACGAAACACAGGUGCUGCAUGGCUGUCGUCAGCUCGUGUCGUGAGAUGUUGGGUUAAGUCCCGCAACGAGCGCAACCCUCACUUUUAGUUGCCAUCAUUAAGUUGGGCACUCUGAAAGAACUGCCAGUGAUAAGCUGGAGGAAGGUGGGGAUGACGUCAAGUCCUCAUGGCCCUUACGUGUUGGGCUACACACGUGCUACAAUGGUAUCUACAACAGGAAGCAAGACUGCGAAGUUAAGCAAAUCCCUAAAAGAUACCUCAGUUCGGAUUGCACUCUGCAACUCGAGUGCAUGAAGCUGGAAUUACUAGUAAUCGUGGAUCAGCGUGCCACGGUGAAUGCGUUCCCGGGUCUUGUACGCACCGCCCGUCACACCAUGGGAGUUGGUUCUACCUUAAGGCAAGGUUUCAAACCCUUGACCACGGUAUAGUCAGCGACUGGGGUGAAGUCGUAACAAGGUAGCC